rnacentral:rRNA from 1 species
UACGUAGGGUGCAAGCGUUAUCCGGAAUUAUUGGGCGUAAAGAGCUCGUAGGCGGUUUGUCGCGUCUGCUGUGAAAACUGGGGGCUCAACCCCCAGCCUGCAGUGGGUACGGGCAGACUAGAGUGCGGUAGGGGAGAUUGGAAUUCCUGGUGUAGCGGUGGAAUGCGCAGAUAUCAGGAGGAACACCGAUGGCGAAGGCAGAUCUCUGGGCCGUAACUGACGCUGAGGAGCGAAGGCAUGGGGAGCGAACAGG